AUAAACUUUGUGCCAGAGGGAAGCUGUACUGUCCUGCAGUGCUCCUUGAUUACAGCCAUCCAGCAGCUCAUAUCCCUAACUCACCGAGGGAAAUGGAAAAGUACAAGAUGAUGGAAAUGACAACGUAGGUGCUUCAGACAAUGAAAUAAUGAAGCAUCCGUAAUUCCUAAUGAGGGAUACAACUUAAUUCACAGCACAUCAUCAAGGUUGUGGGUGAACUAGUGCAAGGCAACAGACAGAAUGGAUUCUCUGGCAAACAACCGAGAAGUGGACCAGUGUCUGAACAAUACUUUCCAAGGUCUGUCAAACUGGUCACCUGUGUCACAAUGACAUUAUCACAUCAUCUAAGAUAAUGGAAGAAAUUAACAUUUUCAAAACUAUACUCAGUAAGUUCAAGCUACAAUAGAUGGAGCAUUUGUCACCACGGGUAACCUGACUGAUCAACUAGUGGCUGCAAACAACCAAUGUUCGAAUGUUUAUUCUUUCAGGUCAUGCUUCUCUGUUCAAUAAAUUAUUUCACCUUUGGCAACUCAUGCUGUGGGUCAACUAAUAUUUAUAAAAUUUAUCAAGGUAUUUAAGGAGGUAAACAUUCCUUGUCGUGUGGAGAUGGAAUUCGGAAACCGGACCGGGAACAAAGUUACAAAACAGCACACCUGAUCAGCUGUCUGGCAUGUUAUCAUCUCUGAGGAAAAGUGGUGGAGGCUAGAUUAAUGCAGCAGGGACUAUAGGCCCAGCAGCAGAGGGUAACCACACAUUUCCAUCUAUGGACCAACUGGGGGCACUUUGAUUGAGCUGUUGGUAUUUUCCAAGCUGUUGAUAUUACUCAAGCCACCGCCGCACAGUAUUGCCAUGUGAUAGUCACAGCCAAAUCCCUGUGGAGGGCUCCCCCUCCAUGGAGGUGGCCUGUUAGCUGUUAUCAUGCAUUUUUCUCAAUGCUUAAGAAGGAACUUCUAUUUUGUGGCACCCUUGCAAUCAGCAAUCAGCCUCAGCAGCUUCUUACAUUUUCCAGUGGAUCGACCAGUUGGACAUUGUUGUGGAUCCUGCUAAUGGGGCUUCCAAUUACCUAGUCUGCCUGCCAUUCCUAAAUAUCCUGGGGUCACUGAGGAUCAUUCAUAAGCAGUCACCUCCAAGAACAUUGAAACUGACACUAGUCCAGGUCUACUUCUGGUUCCUUGACCUGGAAUUAAGACCAACAUUGGGAGGGCGAACCAAUCCAAGGAAUUCAAUCCACGUUAAAUGAACCAGUCCCCCAUGUGACUAUAUUUAAGCUGAUGCAAAAAUGUCCUGCUCAAAAUGUGAUGGCAGAGCUUUAUUAUUCUUGAAAUUAUUCCAAAUACAGAAAGAGGUUGUACUUUUACAUUAAUAUAGAAUAAACUCAUAGACACAUGUUAUCCAUGUAUUUUUAUCUAUCAUAUUUCCACAAUGAUAAAUCAAAGGGGAUGCAUUGAGAAAGGAAGGUAGUGGAGUCUAUUAGCUUGUCACUGUGCACUCAGAAAUCAGGAAUAAACUCAUUAACAUGUUUUCUGCCCAGAAAUUUAACAAACAUAUCAACCUUUUAACAUUUCAAUUAAAUACUGAGAGUAUUUCAUGCAUGCUUUAACACACAUAUUGCUAACACUCACAAUAUUCCAAAAUAACUUUAACAUUUUGAUUUUUAAUGGAGCCAGAAGUAGUAAGAGCCAGACUUGUGGCAUCCCCUCUCACUCCCCUUCAACAUAUACCCCAGCCAUAGCAGCCAGCACCACGUGGGAGAUUUCCAGCCAUACCACAGCCAAAUGCUGCAGCAACAUGCCUAUUUGGCAGCUCCAGGCUGUCGCA